GUUUUUUCAAAAAGGAAGAAGGUUGCCCCCCCUUUGAAAGGACGGAAAACACACAACUGUCAAGGCACCGUCGCUAGGGCGACCCCUGACACUUUUUUUUU